AGUCUUGCGCCAGGGGCAAUGUCGUUGCAGGUGACGCCGAGCGGAUGCGCGACUAUUGCUAGUUGAAAACUACACCAAUUCCCUUCUAUCGGCCCUCUGUGGUCUGGUGGAAAUUUCUGGGGCCCUGAGGGGC
rnacentral:snRNA from 15 species